GCUUAAUAUAAAAUACUAUUUAACCUAAAUUUAUUUUAAUAAAAGUUUUAUAGUAUAGUUUAUUUUAUUGGGGUGAUAAGAGUAAAAUUUUUAUUAACUGCUUAAAAUAAUAAAACAUUUAUGGUUGAAAUAAAAAAAUAAAAGNNCCUNAUUAAAGNUUAAAAGUUUAAGUU
rnacentral:rRNA from 1 species